UACGAAGGGGGCGAGCGUUGUUCGGAUUUACUGGGCGUAAAGGGCGCGCAGGCGGUCUUGCAAGUCAGGCGUGAAAGCCCCGGGCUUAACCUGGGAAUUGCGCUUGAUACUCUGAGACUGGAGUACGGGAGAGGAGAGUGGAAUUCCCAGUGUAGAGGUGAAAUUCGUAGAUAUUGGGAAGAACACCGAUGGCGAAGGCGGCAACCUGGUCCUUGACUGACGCUGAGGCGCGAAAGCGUGGGGAGCAAACAGG
rnacentral:rRNA from 1 species